GUUGAGGUCUAUCCUGAUGGGCUCUUUUUGCAGACCCACAUCAUUGGAGAUGCCUCAUCAAAUAACUAUGCUGUUUGUUUUACUCACAGAAUUAUUCAUUUGAUCUGUGGAAAGAACUAUAAGAUGUAG
ensembl:snoRNA